UACGUAGGGUCCGAGCGUUGUCCGGAAUUACUGGGCGUAAAGAGCUCGUAGGUGGUUUGUCGCGUUGUCCGUGAAAACUCACAGCUCAACUGUGGGCGUGCGGGCGAUACGGGCAGACUGGAGUACUGCAGGGGAGACUGGAAUUCCUGGUGUAGCGGUGGAAUGCGCAGAUAUCAGGAGGAACACCGGUGGCGAAGGCGGGUCUCUGGGCAGUAACUGACGCUGAGGAGCGAAAGCCGUGGGGAGCGAACAGG
rnacentral:rRNA from 1 species